UACGGAGGGUGCGAGCGUUAAUCGGAAUUACUGGGCGUAAAGCGUGCGUAGGCGGCCCGUUAAGUCAGAUGUGAAAGCCCUGGGCUCAACCUGGGAACUGCAUUUGAAACUGGCGGGCUAGAGUCUAAGAGAGGGGAGUGGAAUUUCAGGUGUAGCGGUGAAAUGCGUAGAGAUCUGAAGGAACACCAGUGGCGAAGGCGACUCCCUGGCUUAAGACUGACGCUGAGGUACGAAAGCGUGGGUAGCAAACAGG
rnacentral:rRNA from 1 species